GGUCUUGUAGUGUAGUGGUUAUCACUCGGGAUUUUGACAAGGACCAGUUUGGCUGGUAUGAUAGGAUUUCCCGAAACCCAGGUUCGAACCCUGGCAAGACCU